CUAUUCCACCAAUGUUUCUGUAAGUUAUUAAUAAUUUACUCGCAGCGCUGCUUUGUCACUCUUUGACCUGCCCGGUUGUGGGUUGUCCCGCGCAUCACAACCGUGCAGCAGGCUGAGUUCACCUCCACCCCCCGAUAGCUAUUGAAACUCCAGAGCCCAAACAUUUUUUAUUUGGGACAGCCCUUCCAAAUAUAGAUGACAUUGUAGGUAUAACAGUGUGUUUGAUAAUGAGCACGCUGUAAUCACCGUUCUACAUUUGUUUUCUUGCAGCAGUUCCCCAAAGCAUUGUUUUUUUUAGGCUAUCAGACCUAACACGAUUACCUGCUACACAUGAUUGUAGAUCCUUGUAUUUUCUUUAUUAAUGGCCUCUACCUUUGUCUUUGUCUCACAGAGUUAUUACAAGACAGAGAGUUGUGGGCCCCCUUGGUGUUUGAAAGAGCAUAUUGAGCUACUCCGAGUCGCAGUCUGUUACAAAUGACACGAUACCGACUCUCAUAACAGGCUGCUCCUCCAUGAAUUAUUCCCUUGACCUGGGACCCGCUCAAUCAUAGAGCACACUUAAUUAAGUUAAACCAAGAGCAAUAAAUAAGACAUAUGACACAUCAGCACUGAUGCUUGUCCUCAUCUGUUGACAAAAGCAGCGGGUCCCGGGUCAGGCCCGGGCGAUGGAUGACACCAAUCACAAUGACACACAAACUCUCUGUCAUGU